AGUGAACGCUGGCGGUAGGCCUAACACAUGCAAGUCGAACGGCAGCACAGUAAGAGCUUGCUCUUACGGGUGGCGAGUGGCGGACGGGUGAGGAAUACAUCGGAAUCUACUUUUUCGUGGGGGAUAACGUAGGGAAACUUACGCUAAUACCGCAUACGACCUACGGGUGAAAGCAGGGGAUCUUCGGACCUUGCGCGAUUGAAUGAGCCGAUGUCGGAUUAGCUAGUUGGCGGGGUAAAGGCCCACCAAGGCGACGAUCCGUAGCUGGUCUGAGAGGAUGAUCAGCCACACUGGAACUGAGAAACGGCCCAGACUCCUACGGGAGGCAGCAGUGGGGAAUAUUGGACAAUGGGCGCAAGCCUGAUCCAGCCAUACCGCGUGGGUGAAGAAGGCCUUCGGGUUGUAAAGCCCUUUUGUUGGGAAAGAAAAGCAGCAGGUUAAUACCCCGCUGUUCUGACGGUACCCAAAGAAUAAGCACCGGCUAACUUCGUG
rnacentral:rRNA from 1 species